AUUGAACGCUAGCGGGAUGCUUUACACAUGCAAGUCGAACGGCAGCGCGGACUUCGGUCUGGCGGCGAGUGGCGAACGGGUGAGUAAUGUAUCGGAACGUGCCCAGUAGCGGGGGAUAACCACGCGAAAGCGUAGCUAAUACCGCAUACGCCCUACGGGGGAAAGCAGGGGAUCGUAAGACCUUGCACUAUUGGAGCGGCCGAUAUCGGAUUAGCUAGUUGGUGAGGUAACGGCUCACCAAGGCGACGAUCCGUAGCUGGUUUGAGAGGACGACCAGCCACACUGGGACUGAGACACGGCCCAGACUCCUACGGGAGGCAGCAGUGGGGAAUUUUGGACAAUGGGGGCAACCCUGAUCCAGCCAUCCCGCGUGUGCGAUGAAGGCCUUCGGGUUGUAAAGCACUUUUGGCAGGAAAGAAACGUCGCGGGCUAAUACCCCGUGGAACUGACGGUACCUGCAGAAUAAGCACCGGCUAACUACGUG
rnacentral:rRNA from 1 species